rnacentral:rRNA from 1 species
UUUGGUUAAGUUAGAAAGGGCGCACGGUGGAUGCCUUGACACUAGGAGUCGAUGAAGGACGGGACUAACGCCGAUAUGCUUCGGGGAGCUGUAAGUAAGCUUUGAUCCGAAGAUUUCCGAAUGGGGAAACCCACCAUACGUAAUGGUAUGGUAUCCUUAUCUGAAUACAUAGGGUAAGGAAGACAGACCCAGGGAACUGAAACAUCUAAGUACCUGGAGGAAGAGAAAGCAAAUGCGAUUUCCUGAGUAGCGGCGAGCGAAACGGAACAUAGCCCAAACCAAGAGGCUUGCCUCUUGGGGUUGUAGGACAUUCUAUACGGAGUUACAAAGGAACGAGGUAGACGAAGCGACCUGGAAAGGUCCGUCGUAGAGGGUAACAACCCCGUAGUCGAAACUUCGUUCUCUCUUGAAUGUAUCCUGAGUACGGCGGAACACGUGAAAUUCCGUCGGAAUCUGGGAGGACCAUCUCCCAAGCUAAAUACUCCCUAGUGAUCGAUAGUGAACCAGUACCGUGAGGGAAAGGUGAAAAGCACCCCGGAAGGGGAGUGAAAGAGAUCCUGAAACCGUGUGCCUACAAAUAGUCAGAGCCCGUUAACGGUGAUGGCGUGCCUUUUGUAGAAUGAACCGGCGAGUUACGAUCCCGUGCGAGGUUAAGCUGAAGAGGCGGAGCCGCAGCGAAAGCGAGUCUGAAUAGGGCGUUUAGUACGUGGUCGUAGACCCGAAACCAGGUGAUCUACCCAUGUCCAGGGUGAAGUUCAGGUAACACUGAAUGGAGGCCCGAACCCACGCACGUUGAAAAGUGCGGGGAUGAGGUGUGGGUAGCGGAGAAAUUCCAAUCGAACCUGGAGAUAGCUGGUUCUCCCCGAAAUAGCUUUAGGGCUAGCCUUAAGUGUAAGAGUCUUGGAGGUAGAGCACUGAUUGGACUAGGGGUCCUCAUCGGAUUACCGAAUUCAGUCAAACUCCGAAUGCCAAUGACUUAUCCUUAGGAGUCAGACUGCGAGUGAUAAGAUCCGUAGUCAAAAGGGAAACAGCCCAGACCGCCAGCUAAGGUCCCAAAGUGUGUAUUAAGUGGAAAAGGAUGUGGAGUUGCUUAGACAACUAGGAUGUUGGCUUAGAAGCAGCCACCAUUUAAAGAGUGCGUAAUAGCUCACUAGUCGAGUGACUCUGCGCCGAAAAUGUACCGGGGCUAAAUACACCACCGAAGCUGCGGAUUGAUACCAAUGGUAUCAGUGGUAGGGGAGCGUUCUAAGGACAGUGAAGUCAGACCGGAAGGACUGGUGGAGUGCUUAGAAGUGAGAAUGCCGGUAUGAGUAGCGAAAGACGGGUGAGAAUCCCGUCCACCGAAUGCCUAAGGUUUCCUGAGGAAGGCUCGUCCGCUCAGGGUUAGUCAGGACCUAAGCCGAGGCCGACAGGCGUAGGCGAUGGACAACAGGUUGAUAUUCCUGUACCACCUCUUUAUCGUUUGAGCAAUGGAGGGACGCAGAAGGAUAGAAGAAGCGUGCGAUUGGUUGUGCACGUCCAAGCAGUUAGGCUGAUAAGUAGGCAAAUCCGCUUAUCGUGAAGGCUGAGCUGUGAUGGGGAAGCUCCUUAUGGAGCGAAGUCUUUGAUUCCCCGCUGCCAAGAAAAGCUUCUAGCGAGAUAAAAGGUGCCUGUACCGCAAACCGACACAGGUAGGCGAGGAGAGAAUCCUAAGGUGUGCGAGAGAACUCUGGUUAAGGAACUCGGCAAAAUGACCCCGUAACUUCGGGAGAAGGGGUGCUUUCUUAACGGAAAGCCGCAGUGAAUAGGCCCAAGCGACUGUUUAGCAAAAACACAGCUCUCUGCGAAGCCGUAAGGCGAAGUAUAGGGGGUGACACCUGCCCGGUGCUGGAAGGUUAAGGAGAGGGGUUAGCGUAAGCGAAGCUCUGAACUGAAGCCCCAGUAAACGGCGGCCGUAACUAUAACGGUCCUAAGGUAGCGAAAUUCCUUGUCGGGUAAGUUCCGACCCGCACGAAAGGUGUAACGAUUUGGGCACUGUCUCAACCAGAGACUCGGUGAAAUUAUAGUACCUGUGAAGAUGCAGGUUACCCGCGACAGGACGGAAAGACCCCGUGGAGCUUUACUGUAGCCUGAUAUUGAAUUUUGGUACAGUUUGUACAGGAUAGGCGGGAGCCAUUGAAACCGGAGCGCUAGCUUCGGUGGAGGCGCUGGUGGAUACCGCCCUGACUGUAUUGAAAUUCUAACCUACGGGUCUUAUCGACCCGGGAGACAGUGUCAGGUGGGCAGUUUGACUGGGGCGGUCGCCUCCUAAAGUGUAACGGAGGCGCCCAAAGGUUCCCUCAGAAUGGUUGGAAAUCAUUCGUAGAGUGCAAAGGCAUAAGGGAGCUUGACUGCGAGACCUACAAGUCGAGCAGGGACGAAAGUCGGGCUUAGUGAUCCGGUGGUUCCGCAUGGAAGGGCCAUCGCUCAACGGAUAAAAGCUACCCCGGGGAUAACAGGCUUAUCUCCCCCAAGAGUCCACAUCGACGGGGAGGUUUGGCACCUCGAUGUCGGCUCAUCGCAUCCUGGGGCUGUAGUCGGUCCCAAGGGUUGGGCUGUUCGCCCAUUAAAGCGGUACGCGAGCUGGGUUCAGAACGUCGUGAGACAGUUCGGUCCCUAUCCGUCGUGGGCGUAGGAAAUUUGAGAGGAGCUGUCCUUAGUACGAGAGGACCGGGAUGGACGCACCGCUGGUGUACCAGUUGUUCUGCCAAGGGCAUAGCUGGGUAGCUAUGUGCGGAAGGGAUAAGUGCUGAAAGCAUCUAAGCAUGAAGCCCCCCUCAAGAUGAGAUUUCCCAUAGCGUAAGCUAGUAAGAUCCCUGAAAGAUGAUCAGGUUGAUAGGUUCGAGGUGGAAGCAUGGUGACAUGUGGAGCUGACGAAUACUAAUAGAUCGAGGACUUAACCAUAUAA